UACGAAGGGGGCUAGCGUUGCUCGGAAUCACUGGGCGUAAAGGGUGCGUAGGCGGGUUUUUAAGUCAGGGGUGAAAUCCUGGAGCUCAACUCCAGAACUGCCUUUGAUACUGAAGAUCUUGAGUCCGGGAGAGGUGAGUGGAACUGCGAGUGUAGAGGUGAAAUGCGUAGAUAUCUGGAGGAACACCGGUGGCGAAGGCGGCAUCCUGGACCGGUAUUGACGCUGAGGCGCGAAAGCCAGGGGAGCAAACGGG
rnacentral:rRNA from 1 species